UACGAAGGGGGGCUAGCGUUGCUCGGAAUCACUGGGCGUAAAGGGCGCCGUAGGCGGACUCUUAAGUCAGGGGUGAAAGCCUGAGGCUCAACCUCAGAACUGCCUUUGAUACUGAGAGUCUCGAGACCGGUAGAGGUAAGUGGAACUGCGAGUGUAGAGGUGAAUUCGUAGAUAUUCGCAAGAACACCAGUGGCGAAGGCGGCUUACUGGACCGGUUCUGACGCUGAGGCGCGAAAGCGUGGGAGCAAACAGG
rnacentral:rRNA from 1 species